ensembl:vault_RNA Vault Vault RNA
GGGCUGGCCAUAUAGCUCAGCGGUUCCUUCUUGAGCUCUCUGUUUACUACCAGACCAAUCCUCUCGGGGGUUUGAAACCCGCGGGCGCUAUCUAGCCCUUUU